AGGGUUACGUAGUUAUAGCGAACAGAUCAUUUGUGUUGUUUGAAAAAGGACAUUUGGUAUUUUGNAAUUUUUAUAUAAGCAAAGGAAAAGGUUUUUAGCACAAGGCCUACGCGAACGGUCGCACGUGUGCUUAAACCUUUAAAAUAUUUUUUAUUGAUUUUGAUUUUUGUAAAAGAAAAGGAAAAGAUUUUUAGCGCAAGGCCUACGUGAAC
rnacentral:lncRNA from 1 species